AACGAACGCUGGCGGCGUGGAUAAGACAUGCAAGUCGAACGCUGAUUUCAGGGUAGCAAUAUUCUGAGGUCGGAGUGGCGUAAGGGUGCGUAACACGUGGGUAAUUUGCCAUGAAGUUGGGGGUAACUCGCUGAAAGGCGAGCUAAUACCGAAUGUGACGGUUGGGAGGCAUCUUCCGACCGUUAAAGUUGGGGACCGCAAGGCCUGACGCUUCAUGAUAAGCCCGCGGCCUAUCAGCUAGUUGGUGAGGUAACGGCCCACCAAGGCUAAGACGGGUAGCUGGUCUGAGAGGACGACCAGCCACACUGGAACUGAGACACGGUCCAGACACCUACGGGAGGCUG
rnacentral:rRNA from 1 species